rnacentral:lncRNA from 1 species
GUUCCUAGUCGGAUUCAUUAACCACUGAGCCAUGACGGGAACUCCAGUUUUCAGGUUCUUAAUGCACAUCGUUAGGUCACUUUCCCAUUUGGUUUUGCAAAAUUCAGCCACAAAAUAAUGUCAGACAUUUCUCCUUUAUGGAGUUGCUUUCUUACUGUUUUUUUUUUUUUUUCCUUUUUUAAAAUCUAUUUUUCUUUUUUCUUUUUUUAAAACUUUUUUUCUUUUCAUGGCCACUCCCAUGGCAUGUGGAAGUUCCCAGGCUAGAGGUCAAAUUGGAGCUGUAGCUGCUGGCCUCCACCGCAGUCACAGUAGCGCCAGAUCUAAGCCACAUCUGCGACCUACACCAUGCUUUAUUGCUUGGGCCACGGGAGCAGCUUCGUAGGCCUGCAGUGCUGGUUAUGUGCUGAGGUUUGCUGUGGCUGAGUGGGAAGAAUUCUGCCCUGGGUCUGAGGACCAAUCACUGUCCUAUCACCUCAGAUAACUUGGGAAGGUCACUCGGCUUCCAGGCCUCCAUCAACCUUGUUUUGUCAUUGGUUAAGGGUGGAUUAUGACACCUACUUUAGGGCUGCUGGAGGGUGAAACUAGCUAAUAUAAAUCUGACCUCUCAGGAGGGCCCUGCUGUGUUCCGUUGUUACCUGUUUCGGUGGAAAUCAAAAGCAUGGGUCUUGGGUGCCAAACCAAAGGUUUUAGCUUCAGCCUCUCACCCAUUUGCCUGGUUGUGUGUUCCUUGCAGUCGGCCAGCCUUGCUGGGGAUGAAUACCUGCGUCAUAUGACCUGCAGCUCUCCUCCUGUUAUGUGUGUCCCCCCAAAUGCUGAACAGGGGAGAAGUGCAUUUGCAUCCAAGCUAUGUACGGCUUAUCAACUUCGUAACCCGGGACAAUUUGCUUUGCUUCUUGGACCUUAGGGUUUUUUGUUUUUUGUUUUUCCUACAAAAUGGGGAUUAAAAAAAAAAUCCGUCCUUACCUCCUGAGGUGGUUAUGAAGGUUGGACCAGGUGGUGCCUGUAACUCGCUUGGCCUAGCACCUGUCCCUGGAGAGUGCUCAGUAAAGGUAGGUUGACCAAUUACUAGUUAGUUACUGGUGCAUUCCCGCAGACCUGAGCAUUCUCCGGGUUGAGUCCAACCAACCCACAGGGUAGCUUCUCAAGCUGGGGGCCCAUAGCUCAUGGCAGGUGGGUUUGGAGUUUAGGCUCCUCAAAGUCAGGAGAGACUCAUCCAGGUUUGCCAUUUGAUGGGCGACAAAGGCUUCAGAUGUUUUGUAGUUCUUUUAGAAUUUCCUACGUGUUCCCAUUCAUGUAAAAGGAAGAUCUCUCUUACACACACACACACACACACACACACACACACACACACACACACCUAGGUUCACUUUUCUUUUUUUUUGGCUUUUUUUUAGGGGCACACCUGCAGCAUGUGGAGGUUCUCGGGGUAGGGGUCAAAUCAGAGCUACAGCUGCUGGCCUACACCACAGCCAGAGAAACAGCAGAUCUGAGCCACGUCUGCAAACUAUACACCACAGCUCACGGCAACGCCGGAUCCUUAAUCCACUGAGCGACGCUAGGGAUGCAACCUGCAACCUCAUGGUUCCUAGUUAGAUUCGUUUCUGCCGCGCCAUGAAGGGAGCUCCUAAAGAGGCUCGCUUCUAAGGAGGCUCACUUGCUAAGCAGGAGGGAAGCUUAGCAUUGACUCUGUGACGCUUUUCAUCUUGCUGGAAGUUUUUAACCUGGAAGUUUUUAACCAUGUGCAUGUAUUAGUUCUUCAGUCACUAAGAAAAAAGUUCUUGGGGGUUCUCUGAACUCCAAGAUCCGGCAUCGUCACUGCUGUGGUGGGGGUUCAAUCCCUGGCCCAGGAACUUCUGCAAGCCGAGGGUGUUGUUAAAAAAACAAAAACAAAAACCAAACCAAACAAAUCCUUCAAAGUCCACUGGGUAGUAAAAGAUCCUUGAAUGCCAUCCUGCUUCCUAAUGUAUUUAUAAGAGGCCCUAGGAGUUUUCAGAAAUCUCUCUGUUUUAUGGCUCUCCAUCUGAAUCCCAGGCCAGCCUCCCCUCACACAGCCCAGCUCUCACCCCCUUGCAGGUAUCCUUCCUGCCUUUCAGAAUCUUCCAGCCUGAGUCCUGGACACCCCCGCCCCCCACCAGACCCCCAGGAGGCUGGCCACCCUCUGUUCCUCCCCUGGGGGUGGCCCGUGUGGGAAGCCCUGAGCCUGACUGAGCAGGCCUGAGGCUGGGGGCCUUGGCUGCCUCCUCCUCAGCCCGCCUCCUGGCCCCUGUGUCUCCUGCAGAAGGAAGAGUCUAUGCAGGCUGUUCCUAUCCUUCUUUGAACCAAGCCCUGUUCCAAGAAUUUCAGGGCCGCUCUGCUUGCAGGGUUGAGCUGCUGCUCCCUCAGGCCCCAUGCUCGGAGGUGGCAGCUCCUUGGAAAGGUUUCUUUUCCUCUUUCUUUCUGGCACAGAGGGUGGAUUCCCUGCCCCGCCCCAGACCAUGCGUCUUAGGGGUUAUUUGAGGUGAGUCCUAAAGAAGCAUCUUGCUCUCUGUGCGUCAGUGGGACAGGAGCAGAAUGCUGAAAACCCCAUCUUCCUCCCUCCCAGAAGCCUUUGGUGCCCCCAGCCCCUGCCCACUUUUUGGUUUUUUCAUUGAAAUUGAACAUAGCCUUGUGAAUCUUGGGGGUGGGGCUGGGGGCAGGCAUCGGUCUCUCUUCCCAGGGCUUGGAUCAUCCCCUUCCUAAGAGGGAAGACCCUUAUUAUUAUCAUUAUUUUUUGCUAGACAAUGGAAAUAUGCGAUUUAAUAGUUUUCUUUUUUAACAUAUACAUUGAUUUUUUAAAAUUACUCAGUGAAUUUAAUUACAUUUAUAGCUGUACAAUGAUCAUCACAACCCAGUGUUACAGCAUUUCCAUCCCAAACCCCCAGUGCAUCCCCCCACCCCCCAAUCUGUCUCCUUUGGAAACCACAAGUUUUUCAAAGUCCGUGAGUCAGUAUCUGUUCUGCAAAGAAGUUCAUUGUGUCUUUUUUUUAGAUUCCUUAUGUCAGUGAAAGCUUUUGAUGUUGGCGUCUCAUUGACUGACUGACUUCACUUAGCAUGUUAAUUUCUAGGUCCAUCCCUGUUGCCGCAAAUGCCGUUGUUUCUUUCCUUUAAUGGCUGAGUAAUAUUCCAUUGUGUAUAGUACCACAUCUUUGUUAUCCACUCCUCUGUUGAUGGUCAUUUAGGUUGUUUCCAUGUCUUGGCUAUUGCAGAUAGUGCUGCAGUGAACCUUGGAGUACAUGUGUCUUUUCGAGUCAUAGUUUUCUCUGGAUAGACGCCCAGGAGUGGGAUUGCCGGACCAAAUGGUAAUUGUAUUUUUAGUUUUCUGUGGACUCUCCAUACUGUUUUCUGCAGUGGUUGCACCAAUUUACAUUCCCACCAGCAGUGUGGGAUUCCCUUUUCCUCACACCUUCUCCAGCAUUUAUUGUUUGUAGACUUUUUGAUGAUGGCCCUUCUGACCAGAAGACCCUUAUUGAGAAGGGCCAGGAGUUCCCGCUGUGACUCAGCAGUAACAAACCCUACCAGGAUUCAUGAGGACGCAGGUUCAAUCCCUGGCCUCGCUCUGUGGGUUAAGGCUCGUUGUUGCCAUAAGCCGUGGGUAGGUCACAGUUGAAACUCGGACCUGGUAUUGCUGUGGCUGUGGGUAGGCCAGCGGCUACAGCUCUGAUUGGACCCCUAGCCUGGGAGCUUCCAUAUGCCGCAGGUGUGGCCCUG